UGCAACUCGACUCCAUGAAGUCGGAAUCGCUAGUAAUCGUGGAUCAGAAUGCCACGGUGAAUACGUUCCCGGGCCUUGUACACACCGCCCGUCACACCAUGGGAGUGGGUUGCAAAAGAAGUAGGUAGCUUAACCUUCGGGAGGGCGCUUACCACUUUGUGAUUCAUGACUGGGGUGAAGUCGUAACAAGGUAACCGUAGGGGAACCUGCGGUUGGAUCACCUCCUUACCUUAAAGAAGC
rnacentral:rRNA from 2 species